rnacentral:rRNA from 1 species
AAUGAUGGUGACUUAAACCCUCACCAGAGUACCAAUUGGAGGGCAAGUCUGGUGCCAGCAGCCGCGGUAAUUCCAGCUCCAAUAGCGUAUAUUAAACUUGUUGCAGUUAAAAAGCUCGUAGUUGAAUUUCAGCGUUUCGCGUGUGCCUCUUUUGGCCCAUCUCGUCUCGCUUUUUUUAUUACUUUGAGAAAAUUAGAGUGUUUCAAGCAGGCUUUUGUCUUGAAUACUUGAGCAUGGAAUAAUAGAGUAGGACCUUGGUUCUAUUUUGUUGGUUUUGUUACCUUGGUAAUGGUUAAUAGGAACGGUUGGGGGCAUUCGUAUUUAACUGUCAGAGGUGAAAUUCUUAGAUUUGUUAAAGACGAACUACUGCGAAAGCAUUUGCCAAGGACGUUUC